ACAUGAGUGAAGAAGAAAAUCUCUAAAGACCAAAACAUGCCGGUGUUUAAAAUGGUCCUAGCUGUACCCUGAAUAAUCAACCAUUAAGAAUAUGAGGAUCAUUCACACAUUGAAAUGGUUUAAAACUUCCAGACCAGAAAAUGGUAAGACUCAAACUCUCAAGUGAAGAAGAUAAAGACUCCAUUGGAACAUUCAGUCUGCAGCUGUUUAAGUACUUUAGUCUAGUAAACUCAACCAAAGACCACCGCGUGUGUAACAUUUGAAGAAUCGAGUCUGACGAAGGCGAGAGUGGAAGAACAUUUCCCUCUCACCACCGUGUGGUACAUCUGAAGGUACUGUCCUAACGAACACUCCAAGACAAAGAAGCCUACUACAACUACAAAGGACAUUGUGACCUCUAGUGGACAAACCAGAGACUUCUGUCGAACGACUCCCCAUAGAUGGACCGGGCGAUUUUAACAGAGAGAAACGACAAAGACAUGCAAGCGUUGAAGGACAUCCCACCCUGACAACCAGACAUAUGUAAAGAACUUGGGAACCUCUCAGCCAUCAGGAUAAUCAUCAUAUCCCAAGAUCUGAUUCUGAAAUGUACAACAACACAAUGUGUUACACUUACUGCACUGUUGGAGCUAGCAUUUCGCUGCACCUGCCAUAACAUCUGCUAAUCUGUGGAUACAACCAAUAAACUCUGAUUUGAGAUAGA